rnacentral:rRNA from 1 species
UACGUAGGUGGCAAGCGUUGUCCGGAAUUAUUGGGCGUAAAGCGCGCGCAGGCGGUCCUUUAAGUCUGAUGUGAAAGCCCACGGCUCAACCGUGGAGGGUCAUUGGAAACUGGGGGACUUGAGUGCAGAAGAGGAAAGCGGAAUUCCACGUGUAGCGGUGAAAUGCGUAGAGAUGUGGAGGAACACCAGUGGCGAAGGCGGCUUUCUGGUCUGUAACUGACGCUGAGGCGCGAAGGCGUGGGGGAGCGAACGGG